rnacentral:lncRNA from 1 species
GGUUGUGAGAUUCCUGCUCUGGUGGUUGUAGUCAUAAGAUAUACAUCGUUGCGUACACCUUGGUUGUGGGCACGCACACUACUGUUGAAUUACCACCUUGUCCAAGUGGAUGGAUGCCCUCAAUGGGAUUGGCACUUUCUCCAUUGCUCCUGCACUCUGUUAUCAGCACUUCGGGUUCAUAAUGUACACACAGCAAUGGAUUUUCUGCAGCUGAUUUUCUAUAUUCUGUUUUCUUCGGGUAAGCAGAGUGAGUAUAAUCUUGUUGUUUUGUUUGUUUGUCUGUUUAUAGUAUUGUUGAAAGUUUUCCUCUCUUCUGGAAGAAAUAGCUUGCCCAGAUCAUAAAUAUAGCAUCUGCGUGUCAAAUUAAUAAUGUGUAAGGAAAGAAAUAUGCCACAGGGCUAAUGACCUGUCGCUCCCCAAAUUAAACUAAAAAUCUUGUUUUAUUUUUUUGUGAUUCACAAUUAUUUCAGUAUCACAAUUGAUCAGUUGCUCAAUUCACAUCAAGAAAUAAAUACAGAAGAGAAGGGCUGAUGUAUUUGUGAUGAUCACUGGUGCCAGAUGAGUUAUGCAUCAUGGUCACAGGUCUGCGAGUCCGAGGUCCACAUUAUAAAACACCUAAAUAUACUGAUCACCUUAGUGACAGUUGAUAGGUGUAGUCAACUUUUACAGUUUAAUAAAAUACUAAGAAAUUGGAGAGAAUUUUACAAUCCUAAUAUACAGAAAGAGUAUAUACACUACAUAUACCAAACACAGUCGACCUAUGGGAAGUAAGAAUGCCCCAUUUUAUUAAAAUUAUAAUCAGUAAUCUUAGUGGAACUGUAAGCCAUGACAAUAUAUUUUAUUUUAAAAAAUGAACAGUUGUGUAACACAUUUAGAUCACAAACCACUCACCUUUGUUGACCUUGGAUCCUUUAUUUUUAAAAUUUUACUUUUUUCACAAGGUAUAGCCUGAUCAAGGUUUCUUCUCCUUCAUCUCCCCCCAAGUCCUCCUUCACACUCAUCUAGCGUUUCCCCUUCUUGCUCUGUCUCUUUAGAAAACAAAGACUCAAACAAUACCAAAA